AAAAUUAGAAUUGGACCAAAUCGAUAGUAUAAAAGUCAAGUAGGAGAGAGAAAAUAAAAAAUUCUCUCCUCCUCCCUCGUCAAUGCCGACAGUCCCUCCUUUUUUUUCCUCACUAUUUUCCGGCCACCGUCCACCGGCCACGGAAUCCGGCAAACAAGCAACCUAUCUUGAUCCUCUCAUCAAAGCGAACUUCUCUGUGGCUUUGGUUCGCGUGAUAAGGGCCUGAAUCAAGAGAGAUCGUGAUUGGAAGGUUGCGUCACCUUGCGAUGGAGUUUUCCGACGGAAUCUCGUCGUUUCGUGGACUUCAAGUGCUGGGGAUGGUCUCAAUCGACACAUAGUCGCCUCCUGAACGAUUUUCCUCCAUUUAUUCCGAUGAUGGAGGAGGACCGACGAAACCACCAUGAGCCAUGGAGAUGCAGGGGCUGUCGGGGCUCCUUCCGGCCAAAUGGCCACAAACUCAACAAACCGACCCUGGGGACGAGUUCCCCGUGAAAUUUCGAGCGCGGGGCUGUGGUUGUUCCCAAACACGGCGAGGUUCGAUUUUCCGGCCACCAUGCACGGCGAUUGGCGGAGGCGGUCCCUGACCGGCCGGUGAGUCAGAAGAGGCAGUAGCAUCUUCUCAGUUUGCUGAUUAUCAUGACAUUUUUACUUUUCAUAUUGGGGCUUAAAAAGUUUCUCGACAUUUGAUAGAGGAUCGAGAAGUUGAGAAACGAUUUGCUAUAAGCAAAUGAACAGUGAGUAGUGUUAGAUAAUUCAUAUCAUCCACUUGCAUUUUACAUUUAUGCAUACACAACUAAAUGAUAGACAUGCAUUACUUGGUAAAUUGCUAAUUGUGCUGCAUUAUUUGUUGCUAUCGAAUAUUGCUUGAUUAGUUGUGAUGUGCUACAUGUAUGCCUUGCUUGUGUGGAAUUUGAAUGAGGUGGGUCACCAUUGGGUUUGUGAGGGCGGUCUAUGAUACCAUCGGCCAUGUAUGGGGAGAUCGGUGCCUCCGUGUACAUUUGAUGAAUUAUGAUAUGGAAAACCACAGAGUGGCCUCCUGUCGGUGUGGAAAAGAAAAGAGAGAAUAAAAAAAAAUGAAAGGGCUGGUCAAGUGAGGUUGAGACUGAUUGGCCAUGUAUGGGGGAUCAGCUCCUUAGUGCACACGUGGUGAGAGGGCGGGCCAUGUGUGAGGACGGCUCGUCAGGGGGUUUUGGUGACACCACUGACCAAUUUUCACGUGAUAUGAUUAUGUGAAAGUGUUAAUAUUUGUGAUUGCUGUUGUUAUGUCAUUUGUGUGAUCGUUUGCAUGAUCAUAUAACUAGUCGGAUAACUAGAUUUAUUUACGCAUUUGUGUGAUUAUGUGAGGUGAAAGGGUUAACUAACCUACCACUGAAUAUAGGCGCUCAUCCCUGCCUUAAUAUUUUUCCAGGUUACAAGUUUUCUAGUAUCUCGUGAUUUUUUGCCUCUUGACAUCUGGAGGAAAUGUUGAAAACAAAACCUUGAUUAUUUUUGUAUAGUGUAUUGAAGUAAAACUUUAGAUUCUUAGACUGUUCCGCAAUUACGAUAAUCGUGUAUAAUAAAUUUUGAAAUUAAUGAUGUAUUACUUAUUGAAGUUUCUAUUAUAUAAUAUAUUGAUAUGAGCCUAGAGAACUUUGGAAA